UGAGGAAUAUUGGUCAAUGGACGUAAGUCUGAACCAGCCAAGUAGCGUGCAGGACGACGGCCCUAUGGGUUGUAAACUGCUUUUAUACGAGAAUAAUUUGAUGCACGUGUGCGUUAUUGCAUGUAUCGUAUGAAUAAGGACCGGCUAAUUCCGUGCCAGCAGCCGCGGUAAUACGGAAGGUCCAGGCGUUAUCCGGAUUUAUUGGGUUUAAAGGGAGUGUAGGCGGUUUGUUAAGCGUGUUGUGAAAUUUAGGUGCUCAACAUUUAACUUGCAGCGCGAACUGUCAGACUUGAGUACACGCAACGUAUGCGGAAUUCAUGGUGUAGCGGUGAAAUGCUUAGAUAUCAUGAAGAACUCCGAUUGCGAAGGCAGCAUACGGGAGUGUAACUGACGCUUAAGCUCGAAGGUGCGGGUAUCGAACAGGAUUAGAUACCCUGGUAGUCCGCACAGUAAACGAUGGAUGCCCGCUGUUAGCGCCUGGCGUUAGCGGCUAGGCGAAAGCAUUAAGCAUCCCACCUGGGGAGUACGCCGGNNCGG
rnacentral:rRNA from 1 species